AUGGGGUUACAGGCUCAGCUCCUCAGCUUCCUGCUCCUCUGUAUCUCUGAUAUCAGAGGAGAAACAUUACUCACACAGUCUCCAGCAUUCUUAUCAGCAUCUCUAGGAGACAACGUUGCCAUCACCUGCAAAGCCAGCAAAGACAUUGAUGAUGAUAUAAUGUGGUACCAACAAAAACCAGGAGAAGCUCCGAAACUCGUUAUUAAAUAUGUUACUACUCUCAUCUCUGGGGUUCCAUCCCGAUACAGUGGCAGUGGGUAUGGAAUAGAUUUCACCCUGACAAUUAAUAACACUGAAUCUGAGGAUGCGGCCUAUUAUGUUUGUCAGCAAGAUGAUAAUCUCCCUCUCACAGUGAUAUACCCUGUUACCAAAACCUCCCAGUGCUCUCAAUGGGAUUUCUUUAGCUGCUAUCAAAAAUGCUCAGUAUGUGAAACUACGUGA